AUGCUUCAGCAACACAUUUACUAAAAUUGGAAUGAUACACAGAAGCUUAGCAUGGCCGUACACAAGGAUGACACCCAAAUCUGUGAAGCAUUUCCUAUUUUU